rnacentral:rRNA from 1 species
CAGUAGGGAGGAAGGUAGUGUAGUUAACACCUGCAUAUUUGUACGUUACCUACAGAAGAAGCACCGGCUAACUACCGUGCCAGCAGCCGCGGUAAGUACGGAGGGUGCGAGCGUUAAUCGGAAUUACUGGGCGUAAAGCGCAUGCAGGCGGCCUGUUAAGUCAGAUGUGAAAGCCCGGGGCGUUAACCUCGGAAUUGCAUUUGAAACUGGCAGGCUAGAGUCUUGUAGAGGGGGGUAGGAAGUUUCAGGUGUAGCGGUGAAAUGCGUAGAGAUCUGAAGGAAUAUCAGUGGCGAAGGCGGCCCCCUGGACAAAGACUGACGCUCAGAUGCGAAAGCGUGGGGAGCAAACAGGAUUAGAUACCCUGGUAG